rnacentral:lncRNA from 1 species
GCUCAGCAGGCGGGGCGGGAGCCGCGUGCGCCCGAGGACCCGGCCGGAAGGCUUGCGCCAGCUCAGGAUGAGGACAGGCUGGGCGACCCCUCGCCGCCCGGCGGGGCUCCUCAUGCUGCUCUUCUGGUUCUUCGAUCUCGCGGAGCCCUCUGGCCGCGCAGCUAAGCUAAGUUACCAUCUGGUUUAGACUUCCUUCGGAGAGCGAUGGGAAGAGAUUUCUCAGAGUGUGAAUGGCAUCAUCCUAUCUACAGCAAGGACCUGGAAAUGAACCCUGCUCUGAGUCACACUUCUCUAUUCUCCUUUGACCCUGUGUGCUAGGAACUACCAAAAGAAUCCUUUAAAAUAAGAUCCUUUAUUGCCUUGAUAAUUUAUUCUGCCUGCCCCACAAUCCAAGGUGGAAAAGUUCACUGCAGCAACUAACUACAGUGAAAAUGCACUAACUUUUCAAUCACUAACCUCUUGGUUCCCAUCGACAUCUGCUUCAGUCCUGUUUUUAUCUCCUUCACAAAUUUCAGGAUUUCCCUAAUUCUUGCAAUCUCUGCAAUCACUGCCCUUUAUCACUGACCCAAAGCAAAAAGCACCAGGUUUAACUCUGUUCCCCCUGUGCUAGGUCCCCACAGGUUUUGUUAUCCUGUAUCCUUCCUUACUCCUAGCAGCUACUCUGAUCGAUUUUCUCUCACCCUCAGAGCAGACUUGUGGCCUUGUUUGGGGAAGCACUGGAAUUUUGAACCCCCAGCCAUUUGGGUCAAUUGUUUGGCAAGAGUGUCCGCUUCAUGAUGCUGGUGAUGGCAUGCACCUCGUCACAUGUGCACGGCUAGGCUUGUGCAGGUGGCCUCUAUUACCCAAACACUGAAGGAGCCCCUCUGUGUCCUUGGAGAGAUGCCAGGUGCUUAGUUUACAUUUUUGCCUGCUUGGAGAGCUAACAGCUUGAAGUAAACCAAUCCAUCAGGGACUCCUGAGGUUUUCACCAGCCAACACCACCCAAUCGUGCGUGAAGACUUUCUGACUCCCUGGACAUUGCCAUGGACUCAACUGUCACUUCAGGACCUGUUUUUGAACUAACAAACCUAGACUUCUGAUUCUCUCUUGCUGCACCUACCUGUACAUUCCGAACACAUGGUAGAGACUCUACAAAAUGCUUAAUAUGUGAUCUAUGGACGGUUCCCCUGAAAUUAUAAAUGCUGCCAUCUUCAUCCUUCUUGUUUUCCCAAGCUAUUUCCCUAUCCAUUUGUCUGUGGUUAUAAAUGUCAAUAUCCAGCUUCUCUUUGGAAUGUGUGAAGCUCUUUGGUCUAGGGACCAAAGGCAGGAAUUAUUUAGUGAUCAGACAAUAAGAAAACACUGAAAGAGAUGAUUUGCCUUUGAUGGAUGUAAAAAUACUAAAAAUUUAUUUUCAAUUUAUGGU